CUUCUUUUGACUGGCUGCCAUGUGGAGUAAGGUUAACAGAAUGAGCUUGGUGUUAUCCUUAAUGUUACAGAUUCCUGGAGUUUCAAUGUGUGUAAAGAUGUCAGUACACAGAGAAAAACAAACACAGGCUGUGGCAAAGUGUAAUUGAAAUACUAAGAAGAUGAUCAAGUGUCCCAGAGAUGUUCUUAAAAACCAUGAAAAGUAAUAAGCUCAAAUUUUGAUAAAGCAGUUAUUCAUAAUUUGUGAAAUGUCUGUGCUUAUUUUGCUUGAAAAAUAAAUUCUUUUAAAAAUUAA